ensembl:lincRNA
AUGGCACACAAUAGCACUAAUUUUGGAAGAGGCUGGGGGAUUGUGGUCUGUUUAGAAAAUCAAUCUGUAUCUUCUUGCUGGGCCAUGCUUUCAGGCAGACAUCUAGACUGUAGAGGUAAAAUCCAGAUGUGGAAUAAUUACAAAGAGAGGAUUUUGCAUUGUCUCCAAUUCCCUGCUCUAUUAGGAAAGAAGGGCUGUGAAAAAUCAGCAAGUCUUAAUGCAAGAGAGAAGAGCUGGUGGAACUCAGGACAAAGGCCAGUAUUUUCUUCCUCAUCUCUAUAUAUGCUACUGCUGCUGCUAAGUCGCUUCAAUCGUGUCCAACUCUGUGCAGCCCCAUAGACGGCAGCCCACCAGGCUUCCCUGUCCCUGGGAUUCUCCAGGCAAGAACACUGGAGUGGGUUGUCAUUUCCUUCUCCAAUGCAUGAAAGUGAAAAGUAAAAGUGAAGUUGCUCAGUCGUGUCUGACUCUUCACGACCCCAUGGACUGCAGCUUACCAGGCUCCUCCAUCCAUGGGAUUUUCCAAGCAAGAGUACUGGAGUGGGAUGCCAUUGCCUUCUCCACAUCUCUAUAUAUAGACCUUAGCACAAUUUAAUUUGAGAAAAGGAAAAUGACUUAAAAAGUCUGAAAACACUGAAUUUAAAAAGUUAUGAUUGCUAAGAUUUCUUAUGGUUUGUUAAUUUUGAUUUGCCACCAAUUUGUUCCAAAACUAGUCCAGUGAAUAUUAAGGUUAUAUAUAUAUAUAUAACUGUAUUUAAAAGAAGUCAUGAACAUGACAGUUCUUGCCACCUCAAUAUUCACUGGACUAGUUUUGGAGGAACCAACCUAAAACUUUUAAGAAGAGGGACCUAGAAAAGACAAAAUGGAAGGUGAAAUCUUAGUGAAAUUUUAACUGAACUUCUAUACAUUGUUGCUUAACUGAACGAUGCUCUUGAGGUUGAGCAAUGUCCCACCUACCUGUCUACCCCGGGCGUGGACUCUGCAUCAUUCUGUCCAAUAGCUGUUUCUCUUUUUAAGGUCUACUUCAGAGAUCCUUAGGUGGUCCACAGUCUGUUACCAUCUCCUUUCUUCAAGAAUUAAUUGCUCUGUACUUUUAGGGAAUUUUGUUUCCAAUAUUUCUGGGAUACUUACAGCACUGUGUUAUAGUUAAUUGUACUUGGGUGGCUGGCUUCCUUGUUAGGUCUUGAGGAUUUAGUUAUUUAUUCUAUAUCUUGCUGAAUGUAGGAUCUUAGUUCUCCAACCAGAGAUCGAACCCAUCCCCGUCGCCCCACCCCUGUGUUGGAAGCACAGAAUCCUAACCAGUGGACUGACAGGAAAGUUGGCUGGUCUUGAGUUUUCAGAAUGCAGGGACUAGAUAUUAACUGUGUUUGGAUUCUCAGUCCAGCACUAGUUCUGGGAUUUGAAAUACUCAGAAUGAAUAUUCUUCAGAAAAGUGAUGUGAAGUAAAUUUACAACAAAUUAUCUAUAUAAUUACAGUGAAGUAAUUAUCUUUCAAGAUCUUCAUAAAAAAUGAUAGUGGUCCUCUUUUAGACAUCUAUAUUCAACCAUUCAAUUCAAUGCAACAAAUAUUGUGCUGAUUGUGUGGUAUUAUACAUUUAAAGGGGUGUCAUGCAUGAAGCUCAUCUAGGGAUCAGAGGAGUUAAUAAGACCUACAACCUUCAUAAUUAAAAUGUGAGACAGUACAUGAUUAAUGCUGUAAUAUGAGCAUGACCAAAGUGCUUUGGAAACUCUAAGGACUGGGGAUUAAUGGAAGGGUUGCAUACAGAAUCUGUACUUUGAUUUGGAAGAGCAAUAGGUUUUCAGGCAAAAACCCAGAAUGAGAUGAGGGCAAUGUAGAAAAUCAUAUGCAUGCCUAGUUGUGUCUUGACUCUGUGAUCCCUUGGGCUUUAGCCUGCCAGGUUUCUCUGUCCAUGGAAUUUUCCAGGCAAAAAUACUGGAGUGGGUUGCAUUUACUUCUCCAGGGGACCUUCCCAGCCCAGGGACUGAAUCUCUAUCUCCUGCGCCUCCUGCAUGGUGGAUUCUUUACUACUGAGCCAUCUGGGAGGCCCAUAGAAAACUGAAGGUGAAAGGGAUUUCCUGGUACAUGAAGAAGACUGCAUUAGAUACAGAAAUUGUAUAGAUUUUGCAGUAAUUGGGGAGAAGUCUGGAAAAUGAGGUAGAAGACUUACUUAAAUACCAUACUAAGGCGUUUGAAUUAUUUCCAUGAAAAUUAGAACUCACCAAAAGAGAAGCAGAAGAAUUCUAGUUUACGAAGUUUUGUCUGCUAUUACCAUAAAAAAUGAUUUGAAGGGUAAACUUUGAAGAUGCAGAGAAUAGUCCAAACAAAAGAGAACUAGAGGAUCCCAGGGACGGGGGAACCUGGUGGGCUGCUGUCUAUGGGGUCGCACAGAGUCAGACACGACUGAAGCGACUUAGCAGCAGCAGCAGCAGCAGGAAAAGAAAGUAGCAAAUAAAGUUGGUAGUAAGAUAAACUAAAGGAUAACAAGUUCAAAAUACUUCUGAAAUGUAUUGAAUAGAAGCUAUGUGACAAAGAUUAUUACCCAGGACUUCAAUUCACUAAUAUUAAAUUCAACACUUUUGAUGCCUUCCAAAUUAUUUAAAAUAUUAACAAAAUUAAUAAUUAGCAAUAUUCAUGUUUAUUUUUUAUGAGGUGGUAAUGUUAUUCCUAAAUCUGUUGUCACACUUGUCAUACUUGCCAUUAGGUAAUCAAUCUAUCAAGGGUCUUAUUCACAAUUUUAACAACUGAUGCCUUAAAUGUCUCAUUUUCCUAUUUUAGGGUUCAGACUUGGAAUACUUCUUAAUAACUUUACAUAAAAUUCAAAAACACCCAUGCUGAUAACAUAUGUGAAUUUAGAAUGCUCUAAUUUUAGUACAAAACCAAGUUAUCAUCUAAUAUUUUGUUUAAAAUAAAAAUAAACUAUCUCUUAUUAGUAAAAUUUGACAAAAUCUCUUCAAUGCAAAAUGAAUGUCCCAUCAUAAACUAUAAAAAGGUACCUCCAAGAUGGCUGGUAUUGACACAAGAUCCAAAGAUGGGAAUGUGCCCAUGAGCCCAGGGGAGAUGUUCUGGAAAAGAAACAGGGACAUACUCGAAGUUACAUGGUGCUGCUGAGUAAUGACAAGAUUGGAUUCUGCUAUGGUCUGGUGGUGGACUGGGAUGGAGUCCACUUAGGAAUACAGGAGGAAAGGAGGUGGAAAACGAAAGGGCAGAUGCCUCUAGGAUGCUUUGGUCUCAUACUACUGUUCUCUAGACCCUCAUCACAGAGGACCCUCAGGACCUACCUUCCACACCCCUUCAGGACUUGCUCAUCUUCACUUCUUGAGCAAAGGCUGUGGGAUGGCUAGGUAAUUUGAGGGAUCUUUUCCUUAAUAAUUUACUCAAAAGUGUAACCAUCAGUCAUCUAGACACUGAAACCCUGAUCUUGUCUUUGAAUGAGGGAUAUUGUAAUACAGUCAAUGGGGUUGCUAAGAGUUGGACACGACUGAGAGACUUCACUUCACUUUUGAAAACAUCAUUUAUUACAAAUGCAGAGCACUGGAUAGAUUUUAGUGUUCUAUGCAGAUAGAAGCAUUCUUACACUCCACAAAAUUCUGACUUUUUUUUUGCUAAGACACUACUGGUAAAGAAACUGCCUGCCAAUGCAGGAUACAUAAGAGAUGCGGUUUGAUCCCUGGGUCUGGAAGAUGCCCUGGAGGAGGGCAUGGCAACCCACUCCAGUAUUCUUGCCUGGAGAAUCCCAUGGACAGAGGAGCCUGGUGGGCUACAGUUCAUAGGAUCACAAAGAGUCAGACACGACUGAAGCAACUUAGCGCACACACACUUGACUGAAUAAAAAUCAACUAGUCAAAAUUGCUUCUGAGUUUCAAUUGUCUCAAAUGUUUUAUUGUAUUUUCUAAACAAAUAGGCAAUAUUCAAAAUCCUAGUGAAGCAUUUAUACUAUUCCAAAAGAGACAGAAAAGCAAGGGCCUGGUUAACAUAAAAUUCAGGAUAAUGUUAUCUAUGGAAGAGAGUGGGAAGAAGACUAUACAUGUCUAUUUGUUUACAUACUUAUGUGUCUUACAUGUAUGCUAUAAAUCUUGUUUAAUUUAUUUGAUCUUUGAUAAAUUACUUACAGGAGAGAACUAUAAAAUGUGGUACAAAUAAUAAUAAUGAUACCAUAAUUUUAAACUAUUAGGGUUGUGGAAUUAAGCAACUGACUGUUUCCCAGUGUUCUGAAUUUUCUGUUCCAAUCUAUUAAAUAAAUAGCAAUGGUCCCCAAUCUUUUUGGCAUCUGGGACCAGUUUUGUGGAAGACAAGUUUUUCCACUGUCUGGGGCAGGGAGGGGGUGAUCACUUGGGGAUGAUUCAAGUGCAUUACAUUUAUAGUGCACUUUAUUUCUAUUGUUAUUAUAUCAACUCCACCUCAGAUCAUCAGACAUUAGAUCCUGGAGGGUAGGGGCCUCUGAAAUAGGGCAUUAAGUACUAUGGGAAAAAGGAAAACAUGAAAAUAAAAAAAGACAGAAUUUCUACCCUCCCAGAGAAUUCUUGCUUGAAUAGGACUGGUGGUGUGAACAGCCUGUAUAAAACACAGCAAUAGACUACCCACAACUGGCUGUAGGGUGUGUGUUUUGCACGGCCCUUCCUUGAGUUCAAAUCAAAGUGUAAGAAUUCAGCCACAUGAUAUCAAUCAGUUAUCUUCAUUUUCAAGAUAAUCACUGUGGCAUUAUUUCCUUCCAAAAUUUUAGGUUAGUAAUUAUUGGUUUAUCAAUACUAGUAUAAGACUGAAAAUGGAGAGCUGAUAUCAUUCUUGAAAAUGCUCACCUGAGUUAUCAGUGGUCUGUUUCCUGAGGAAUCCACUCAGUCAUUACUCUGUGUUUGUUUCUAUUCUUCCUGUUCAAACAGUAUUUGCUCUGAAUAGCUGAAAAAUGCCCUAGGCUUUGUUAUGAAGUGGGAUCUUCAUUUAGGCAGAAUUGAAAGUAAACUCCAUGCCCUGGGAACAUUCAUGACUUUUGGUCUCUUUAACCUGAACUGGAGCUGAAUCAGUAGCCUAAAGGUGAAAGCCUCUAAAUCCUUUUAUUACCCCAAACCCUAUAAUCUUUUUGUUUUAACCAAGUAUACACAAGAAAGGUAGCAGAACUUCCCAGUUAACAAGUCAAGAAAUCUCUACCUCAGAUAAGAAUCCAGCACUUUGGUUUACUCUCGGC